rnacentral:tmRNA from 1 species
GGGGUCGUUACGGAUUCGACAGGCAUUAUGAGGCAUGUUCUGCAACUCGUGUGGCGACGUUAACGCUCAGUUAAAUAUAACUGCAAAAAAUAACACUUCUUACGCUUUAGCAGCUUAAUAACCUGCAGGCGUGACUGACGGCUGUUUGCUUACGGCAACCUGAGGUCUUAAUUUAGUAAGCUGGUUGACAAGAAGUGUUUCGUACUUGUCAACGAGAUUUAGAAACUCGCUGGCUACAGGCCUGAGUGGUGUGUCGGUGACCAGUUAAAACAAGACAUCACCUAUGGUUGUAGACGAAUAUGUUAGCAGAUGUUUGGACGUGGGUUCGACUCCCACCGGCUCCAUAU